GAUGAACUCUUUAUAUUUUAAGGACAUUAACUGUUUGCCUAUCACAGUCAUUCAGAAAGAAUUUUUUCAAAUAAAGAAGAAAACACGUCCAUUUUUAUAGAUGAAUAAACCAAAAACUCAGUGAGAAAGGUGGAUUAUCCAAGGUCACCCAACUGGCAGGUGAUCUAGUUGGGAUUUGAACACAAGUCAUACUGGCUCCAGAAGUCUCAAUCAGAAGAGAAAAAAAAAAAAAAAGAAGAAGAAGAAGAAAGAAGAGGAAGAGGAAGAAAAGGAGGAGCGUGGAAAUGCUUAUAAUUUCAUCUUGGCAGUCAACUUCACUGUAGAAAAUGGAUGGAAACUUGAAGGUUGUGAAGCCUUUGUAAAAGCAAGGAUGGAAGGGUAGAGAAGCCACCAUAUCCAUGGAGGUGGGGAGAUGAAGUUCUUCAGGAUCGACAGAAAAGGGUGAAAAGCCCUGGAAAUUGUAAUUUUACAGGUAACCUUAAGAGAACAAUCUUUCAGUUUUUAAUUUCUUUAAAAGACCAUUAUCUAAAGCAACAACAGCAGUAAUAUAGGGCUUCUAACAUCUCAGGGUAUAAAAUAUAUGAACACAGUAGAACAAAGGAUGGGGGAUGGUAAAAGGGAAUCAUACUGGUUUAAGUUCUUCUAUGUGCUAAGGAUGCAAAUUGUAAUCCCUAGUACAAAUAAUUCAAGAAUAAAAUAGAUUUAGCUAAAAAGUCCCAAAAGUCAGUAAAAUGGAAUAUUAAGAUGUAAGUGAUUAAUCCAAAAGAGGGCCAAAAAAAGGAACAAGGAACCAAGGGGACAAAUAGAAAAUAAAUGACAGUACUUAUUAAUUGUAAUAUUAUCCACAAAGGGGAGGAAGGGAAGGGAAGAAAGUAGAUCUCUCUAAGGUCUUUCCCAGCUUUUGGUGUCCACACCACUGGUUUUAGUCCACACUCCCCUGUCUGCAUCUACUAGUGGAACUGAGGCAUCAUCAAGUUUUCUUAACAUCAGAGCUGGGAUGAGAGUGGGGUCAGCUGGUUCCUGGGUCUAAUCAUGGGCCCGUCAGGUAGAGGAGACCAUGGUUAUGGGUUUGUAAUUAGAGUAGCAAGUUCAGGUAAUGAUUAGGUUUGGAGUCAAAGAUAUUAUUUCUAUUAGUUAGGCCUGGGGUUAAGGCCAACUUAGAGUUGGCAACUGCUUGGAGUUCGUGCUGGAUUUGGUUUAUUGGUCCCAUCUGUAGUGUGGGAGAGGACUGGGCUUCAGGAAUAUUAGAUUGGGUGGGAUGGGCUGAUCCAGCAGGGCCCCUGCAAUCUCUCAGGGCAGUUAUUCACAUCCACUAGGUCUAUUCUUUCCCAUAGUUAAUAAGCUUUUUCUCUUUUAUCAAUGCAAUGCAACAUCCAUUGAUUUAAAAAGCCUUUGAUCACCUGCUAUGUAUCAGGCACCAUUCUAAGUGCUGGGGAUGCAGUGUGAACAAGACAAAAUCCCUGACCCUACCGAGCGGAUGUGCUGAGGGUGAUAAACAAACAUGAAUCCAGAGAAGAGAACCAGGCCAGCAGGUCAGAGUGAUCUGGAAGUCUGGGAAGAUCUUGUGAUUGAUGAGAAGGGACAGCAGGAGCAGAGGCCUGGAGGUGGGCAGAAUGAAGGCAGUGUGGCACCAGAAGUGGGCAGGAAAGGCGAAGAAGCACAGCUGUGCCAGGUAAGUCUCCUGGGCUGGAUUCCGGGGGAAGGUAGAAACAAGGGCGUGGCAGAGUCUCCCUUGAGAUCUAAAAGACAACUCUGGCUGCUGUGUGGAGAAUAGCCUGGAGCAGUGACAAGAAAACAAACAAACAAAAUGAAACAAAGGGCUAUGAGAUAGGAGCCCUGGAUUCCUCAGGGUGCUGUGUGAGAUCUCAGCUACUUCUUCGCUUAGGCUCUCUUCUGGCUGGCUGUCUGUAAAAUGCCAAGAGUGGGCUCUAUGCCACUUUAGUUAUAGAGACAUAGAGUCAGUGCUAGAUCAUUUUGAAAAGCUGCCCUUAGAGAACAAGGGCUCUAUGAAAGCAAAGGCUCCGGUAUCUUCUUGUCCCCUCGGUAUUUGAGACACUCAGUACAUUCAGUCAAUUAGGUGGAAUGGGUGUAAUAAUAACUUGAGUUCGUUUCCUCCAUGAACACUGUGGCUUCUGAGACGUCACUGGCACAAGAGCUGGUCGGUUACUUUGGUUCAAGAGGCCAGACUCAACUGAGUAGCCCCUUGUGCCAGCCAGAUCCGUUCCCUCCCUUCCCAGCCCAUGACCUGAUCAGACAGCUUUUAAUGGGGAGUCACCCGUCAGCGUGGGGGCCCCUCUGCAUGAGUGACCCUCCCCGCUGGGGAGCAAAAACAACCGCUAGGACUGAAGGCCAGCUUCCAGCUGCCCCACUGCUGAGUUGCUUCAUUUCUCCUCCAAGGCCAUCUCCCCUUAAGGAGGAGAGGGAUAAGAAUCUGGUCCUGGCUUCCUCACAGGGGGAAAGAGGAUCAACAGAAACCCCUGGGGAAAUGUCAGAGUGUGAGCUGUGUUGUUGCCACUGCAGCUGAGGGCACUACUCCUGUUGUCGGUGGGUUGGGAAAGAGCCUGUGACACAGGAGAAAGGUCUUUGUGCUCCUCCAGCCCUAGCCCUGCAGGCCCAAUCCCAACGGAAGGGCAU
rnacentral:lncRNA from 1 species